rnacentral:misc_RNA from 1 species
UACGUAGGCAGCGAGCGUUGUUCGGAGUUACUGGGCGUAAAGGGUGUGUAGGCGGUUCUCUAAGUUUGGUGUGAAAUCUCCCGGCUUAACCGGGAGGGUGCGCCGAAAACUGGAGAGCUAGAGUGCGGGAUGGGAGAGUGGAAUUCCUGGUGUAGCGGUGAAAUGCGUAGAUAUCAGGAGGAACACCGGUGGUGUAGACGGCUCUCUGGACCGUAACUGACGCUGAGACACGAAAGCGUGGGUAGCAAACAGG